CGGUCACGUUCGUUGCCUUCAUUUAUAGAGUGCGUGUAAUAGCUCUCUAAUUAAAAUCUGAAACGCAAUUAAGCAGACAGAUCACUCCACGAACUAAGAACGGCCAUGCACCACCUAUCACAUAAUUAUGAAAGAACUAGCGUAUUUUUUGUAAAUUUGUCUGUCAAUCCUCAGUGUGUACGGACCCGGUAAGAUUUCCCGCGUUGGGUCAAAUUAAGCCACAUGCUCCAC
rnacentral:rRNA from 1 species